GGAACUAUAGCCUAGAGGUUAGGCAGUAAGCUGUUAACUUACCUUAUGUAGGUUCAAUUCCUACUAGUUCCGCCA
rnacentral:tRNA from 1 species